GGCUUGAUUUCUAUUACAAAUGAUGUAACAUUACAUAUGUUAGUACUCCUAACACUUCUUGGGACUGUGCCUCAGGGAUCACAACCUAUAUAAGUUUAGAAGUUCUGAAAGACAGUCAUGACCUUGGUGUAUAGGUUCAGAUAGUGUCCAGAUUAGAAUCCUGAUGCUAAAGACUUAGUAAGAGACAAAAAAAAGGAGUUGAGAAUUACUUAGGGCUAGGGCUAUCUAGGUGCUACAAGGGCAGCACAAGGACAUCUGCUGUUGCCCUACAAUACAAGGCUUAUAGAGAAUUCAGAACUGCCAUUGACUCAGAUAUAAAAAGAGUAAAAGACUUUUUAGCUGACCUCCAAGAAUACCUAACCUCCCUCUCAGAGGUAGUCCUUCAAAAUAGAAAAAGAUUAGACCUGAUAUUCCUUAAAGAAGGAGUCUGUGUGCUAUACUAAAAGAAAAAUGUUGCUUCUAUACAGACCAUUCAGGAGUAAUUAAAGACUCCAUAAAUAAACUUAGAAAAAGGUUAGACAAAAGACAGACAGAAAAACACAUCAGAGAUAGUUCGAGAGCUAGUUUAGUAGAUCUCCCUGGAUGACUACCCUACUCUCUGCUACAGGUGGGCCAUUAUUAAUAAUUUUCUUGGUUUUAGUUUUUGGCUUCUGCGUGACAAACAGGUUAAUUACUUUUGUUAAAAAUCGAGUGGGUGCUGUGCGGUUGAUGUUGUGAGACAACAGUACCAGUCAGUUAGGACAACUGGUGAGACCAAAUACGAGACUUGAUAUCAAAAUUCUAAGAUUAGAAUUAUUUAGUAGGAGAAGACGGGAAUGAAAAGAAAAUUAUACGAAUUCUAGGUUUAAAAAUAUAAAAUUAAAAGAGUUAGCC
rnacentral:lncRNA from 1 species